GAUGAACGCUGGCGGCGUGCCUAAUACAUGCAAGUCGAGCGAACGGACGAGAAGCUUGCUUCUCUGAUGUUAGCGGCGGACGGGUGAGUAACACGUGGAUAACCUACCUAUAAGACUGGGAUAACUUCGGGAAACCGGAGCUAAUACCGGAUAAUAUUUUGAACCGCAUGGUUCAAAAGUGAAAGACGGUCUUGCUGUCACUUAUAGAUGGAUCCGCGCUGCAUUAGCUAGUUGGUAAGGUAACGGCUUACCAAGGCAACGAUGCAUAGCCGACCUGAGAGGGUGAUCGGCAACCCUGGAACUGAGACACGGUCCAGACUCCUACGGGAGGCAGCAGUAGGGAAUCUUCCGCAAUGGGCGAAAGCCUGACGGAGCAACGCCGCGUGAGUGAUGAAGGUCUUCGGAUCGUAAAACUCUGUUAUUAGGGAAGAACAUAUGUGUAAGUAACUGUGCACAUCUGGACGGUACCUAAUCAGAAAGCCACGGCUAACUACGG
rnacentral:rRNA from 1 species